rnacentral:rRNA from 1 species
AUACGUAGGUGGCAAGCGUUGUCCGGAAUUACUGGGCGUAAAGGAUGCGUAGGCGGAUAUGUAAGUCAGAUGUGAAAUACCCGGGCUCAACUUGGGUGCUGCAUUUGAAACUGCAUGUCUAGAGUGUGGAAGAGGUAAGUGGAAUUCCGAGUGUAGAGGUGAAAUUCGUAGAUAUUCGGAGGAACACCAGUGGCGAAGGCGGCUUACUGGUCCAUUACUGACGCUGAGGUGCGAAAGCGUGGGGAGC